AUUGAACGCUGGCGGCAUGCUUUACACAUGCAAGUCGAACGGCAGCGCGGGCUUCGGCCUGGCGGCGAGUGGCGAACGGGUGAGUAAUGCAUCGGAACGUGCCCAGUAGUGGGGGAUAGCCCGGCGAAAGCCGGAUUAAUACCGCAUACGACCUGAGGGUGAAAGCGGGGGCCGAAAAGCCUCGCGCUAUUUGAGCGGCCGAUGUCGGAUUAGCUAGUUGGUGGGGUAAAGGCUUACCAAGGCGACGAUCCGUAGCUGGUCUGAGAGGACGACCAGCCACACUGGGACUGAGACACGGCCCAGACUCCUACGGGAGGCAGCAGUGGGGAAUUUUGGACAAUGGGGGCAACCCUGAUCCAGCCAUGCCGCGUGCGGGAAGAAGGCCUUCGGGUUGUAAACCGCUUUUGUUCGGGAAGAAAUCCUCUGGGCUAAUACCCCGGGGGGAUGACGGUACCGGAAGAAUAAGCACCGGCUAACUACGUG
rnacentral:rRNA from 1 species